UACGUAGGGGGCAAGCGUUGUUCGGAUUUACUGGGCGUAAAGGGCGCGUAGGCGGUCGUGACAAGUCACUUGUGAAAUCUCCGGGCUUAACUCGGAACGGUCAACUGAUACUGCGCGGCUAGAGUGCAGAAGGGGCAACUGGAAUUCUCGGUGUAGCGGUGAAAUGCGUAGAUAUCGAGAGGAACACCUGCGGCGAAGGCGGGUUGCUGGGCUGACACUGACGCUGAGGCGCGAAAGCUAGGGGAGCGAACGGG
rnacentral:rRNA from 1 species